rnacentral:rRNA from 1 species
AGAGUUUGAUCCUGGCUCAGAACAAACGCUGGCGGCGUGCCUAACACAUGCAAGUCGUACGAGAAAGUCGGCUUCGGCCGAUGAGUACAGUGGCGCACGGGUGAGUAACGCGUAAGUUAUCUACCUCGGCAUCUGGAAUAACUCACCGAAAGGUGUGCUAAUACCGGAUACGUUGAGUAAUCAAGAAAGGUGGCCUCUGAAUAUGCUACUGUGCUGAGAUGAGCUUGCGUACCAUUAGCUAGUUGGUAGGGUAAUGGCCUACCAAGGCAACGAUGGUUAGCGGGUCUGAGAGGAUGAUCCGCCACACUGGAACUGGAACACGGACCAGACUCCUACGGGAGGCAGCAGUGAGGAAUAUUGCGCAAUGGGGGCAACCCUGACGCAGCGACGCCGCGUGGAUGAUGAAGGCCUUCGGGUCGUAAAAUCCUGUCAGGUGGAAAGAAAUGCAUGGUGGUUAAUACCCAUCAUGUUUGACGGUACCACCGAAGGAAGCACCGGCUAACUCCGUGCCAGCAGCCGCGGUAAUAU